AACGAACGCUGGCGGCAGGCCUAACACAUGCAAGUCGAACGCUCCGCAAGGGGAGUGGCGCACGGGUGAGUAACACGUGGGAACCUACCUUCUGGUACGGAACAACCAAGGGAAACUUUGGCUAAGACCGUAUACGACCUCCGGGUGAAAGAUUGAUCGCCGGAAGAGGGGCCCGCGUCCGAUUAGGUAGUUGGUGAGGUAACGGCUCACCAAGCCUUCGAUCGGUAGCUGGUCUGAGAGGAUGACCAGCCACACUGGAC
rnacentral:rRNA from 1 species